AGCGAACGCUGGCGGCAGGCCUAACACAUGCAAGUCGAGCGCCCAGCAAUGGGAGCGGCAGACGGGAUAGUAACACGUGGGAACGUACCUUUCAGUUCGGAACAACCAAGGGAAACUUUGGCUAAUACCGAAUACGCCCGUAAGGGGAAAGAUUUAUCGCUGAAAGAUCGGCCCGCGUCUGAUUAGCUAGUUGGUGAGGUAAUGGCUCACCAAGGCGACGAUCAGUAGCUGGUCUGAGAGGAUGAGCAGCAUCACUGGGACUGAGACACGGCCCAGACUCCUACGGGAGGCAGCAGUGGGGAAUAUUGGACAAUGGGCGCAAGCCUGAUCCAGCCAUGCCGCGUGAGUGAUGAAGGCCUUAGGGUUGUAAAGCUCUUUCGUCAGGGAAGAUAAUGACGGUACCUGAAGAAGAAGCCCCGGCUAACUUCGUGCCAGCAGCCGCCGUAAGAC
rnacentral:rRNA from 1 species